GAUGAACGCUGGCGGCGUGCCUAAUACAUGCAAGUCGAGCGAAUGGAUUAAGAGCUUGCUCUUAUGAAGUUAGCGGCGGACGGGUGAGUAACACGUGGGUAACCUGCCCAUAAGACUGGGAUAACUCCGGGAAACCGGGGCUAAUACCGGAUAAUAUUUUGAACUGCAUGGUUCAAAAUUGAAAGGCGGCUUCGGCUGUCACUUAUGGCUGGACCGGCGUCGCAUUAGCUAGUUGGUGAGGUAACGGCUCACCAAGGCAACGAUGCGUAGCCGACCUGAGAGGGGGAUCGGCCACACUGGGACUGAGACACGGCCCAGACUCCUACGGGAGGCAGCAGUAGGGCAUCUUCCGCAAUGGACGAGAGUCUGACGGAGCAACGCCGCGUGAGUGAUGAAGGCUUUCGGGUCGUAAAACUCUGUUGUUAGGGAAGAACAAGUGCUAGUUGAAUAAGCUGGCACCUUGACGGUACCUAACCAGAAAGCCACGGCUAACUACGUGCCAGCAGCCGCAGUAA
rnacentral:rRNA from 1 species